UACGGAGGGUCCAAGCGUUAUCCGGAAUCAUUGGGUUUAAAGGGUCCGUAGGCGGUUUUGUAAGUCAGUGGUGAAAGCCCAUCGCUCAACGGUGGAACGGCCAUUGAUACUGCAGGACUUGAAUUAUUGUGAAGUAACUAGAAUAUGUAGUGUAGCGGUGAAAUGCUUAGAGAUUACAUGGAAUACCAAUUGCGAAGGCAGGUUACUAACAAUAUAUUGACGCUGAUGGACGAAAGCGUGGGUGGCGAACAGG
rnacentral:rRNA from 1 species